AUUGAACGCUGGCGGCAUGCCUUACACAUGCAAGUCGAACGGCAGCGCGGACUUCGGUCUGGCGGCGAGUGGCGAACGGGUGAGUAAUACAUCGGAACGUACCCUGUUGUGGGGGAUAACUAGUCGAAAGAUUAGCUAAUACCGCAUACGACCUGAGGGUGAAAGUGGGGGACCGCAAGGCCUCACGCAGCAGGAGCGGCCGAUGUCUGAUUAGCUAGUUGGUGGGGUAAAGGCCCACCAAGGCGACGAUCAGUAGCUGGUCUGAGAGGACGAUCAGCCACACUGGGACUGAGACACGGCCCAGACUCCUACGGGAGGCAGCAGUGGGGAAUUUUGGACAAUGGGGGCAACCCUGAUCCAGCAAUGCCGCGUGUGUGAAGAAGGCCUUCGGGUUGUAAAGCACUUUUGUCCGGAAAGAAAUCGCGCUGGUUAAUACCUGGCGUGGAUGACGGUACCGGAAGAAUAAGCACCGGCUAACUACGUGCCAGCCGCCGCCGUUAA
rnacentral:rRNA from 1 species